AGAGUUUGAUCCUGGCUCAGGAUGAACGCUAGCGGCAGGCUUAAUACAUGCAAGUCGUGGGGCAGCACAGGUAGCAAUACUGGGUGGCGACCGGCAAACGGGUGCGGAACACGUACGCAACCUUCCUUUAAGUGGGGGAUAGCCCAGGGAAACUUGGAUUAAUACCCCGUAAGAUUGUGGUGUGGCAUCACACUACAAUGAAAGCUCCGGUACUUAAAGAUGGGCGUGCGGCUGAUUAGGUAGUUGGCGGGGUAACGGCCCACCAAGCCAACGAUCAGUAACUGGUGUGAGAGCACGACCAGUCACACGGGCACUGAGACACGGGCCCGACUCCUACGGGAGGCAGCAGUAAGGAAUAUUGGUCAAUGGACGCAAGUCUGAACCAGCCAUGCCGCGUGGAGGAUGAAGGCCCUCUGGGUUGUAAACUUCUUUUAUCUGGGAAGAAACCACUCUUUUCUAAGGGUGUUGACGGUACCAGUUGAAUAAGCACCGGCUAACUCCGUGCCAGCAGCCGCGGUAAUACGGAGGGUGCAAGCGUUAUCCGGAUUCACUGGGUUUAAAGGGUGCGUAGGUGGGCAGGUAAGUCAGUGGUGAAAUCUCCGGGCUUAACCCGGAAACUGCCGUUGAUACUAUCUGUCUUGAAUGUAGUGGAGGUGAGCGGAAUAUGUCAUGUAGCGGUGAAAUGCUUAGAUAUGACAUAGAACACCCAUUGCGAAGGCAGCUCGCUACACUAUUAUUGACACUGAGGCACGAAAGCGUGGGGAUCAAACAGGAUUAGAUACCCUUGUAGUCC
rnacentral:rRNA from 1 species